UACAGAGGUCCCGAGCGUUGUUCGGAUUCAUUGGGCGUAAAGGGUGCGUAGGCGGCUUCCUAAGUUUGAUGUGAAAUCCUGGGGCUCAACCCUGGAACUGCAUUGAAUACUGGGAGGCUAGAGUACUGGAGAGGAAACUGGAAUUUACGGUGUAGCAGUGAAAUGCGUAGAGAUCGUAAGGAAGACCAGUGGCGAAGGCGAGUUUCUGGACAGUGACUGACGCUGAGACGCGAAAGCGUGGGGAGCAAACAGG
rnacentral:rRNA from 1 species